UCUCACCACCGCGCACCCUUACCCGCCCGCAUACCCACAUCGCUAAUUGCGCCGCCUCCCACCGCUAAUCGCGCGGCCUUCCCUCGCGACGCCGCCUCCCACCGCUAUCCGCGCGGCCGCCCUCGCGGCCUUCCCUCACCUCGCCGCCUCUCCUCGCCCUCCCCAUCUCCCGCGACCUCCCUCCCCAUUCGCUCGAUCCUCCACAAGAAGCUGCAUGGAGGCGGGAGGCGAGCCAUGGCGAGGAGGGGAGACACGGUCUCCGUCUCGCUCGGCGACCUCGCCGCGCGGACGCCCUCCACGCCGCCGCCGCCCACGAAGCCCGCUCGUCGACUCGUCGGCACCUUCCUCUGCGGCCGGGGCGCCCCUCCUCUCGGGUCUUUCUCCACCUCCGUUUUGGGUCGCCGAAGGCUGCCAGGGUCCGGAUCCGCCCUCUCCCUCGCUGGAUCUACGCAUCCCUUGGCCGGAUCUACCUCGAUGCAAGGUUCCUCCGUCUGGGCGACAUGGAGCCGCUCUAUCCUUUCCAGCGGCGCUGGCGCGGCCUCCUGUAUCGGCGCUCGCUCGCGAGGAGGUGCUGGCCGGCCGCGCGGCAGACCGGCGUUACCUCUAUGCCGCGCUCGCACGCGCGGAGGCGCUGGCCGGCCGGCCGUGACCCCGGUGCCCGGAGCCUGCCCGGGGACGCCUCUCUGCCAACCUCCUUUAUCAGGAGGAAGGAGGAGAAUGGUGCUUCUCAGGAAGGCGAUUACUUCAAAAUCGACGUGCGCACAUUAGCACCGUUCACAUAUCACAACUAAAGCUUUGAAGGUCAAAUAACUGUUUCAGUUAGCCAUCUCUGAAGAUAAGGCCUGUUAAUAAAAUAGUCAUGGCAGAUUUCAAGAUUGGUAGCCUGGAUGGCCAGCCACCAAGGACCAGAAAUGUGCCCAUUUAUUAUCGUUUGUUCUUUUGAGUUUCCUUUUUGAAUAUAUAAUUUAGCAUUUGAUAUGUUCCAGUAAUCGGUUGAGUUUUUUGUUUCAGUUCUCGGAAAGUGGAUGCCAGUUGUUUCAAUAUGCUUAUCAUGGUGUUCUCAAAAAAAAAAAAUGCUUAUCAUGGUUACGUGAUUGAUCCAGUAGCAUCUUGAGGGUGUUACUGAUAGAGUGAUCUGAAGCUACUAUGAAAAAGCUUGAACAAACACUCUUGCCUGGGAAAUCCAAAAUGUUAUAACCGAAUCUUGCCAAGUGAUCUAUUAAAGCUAAUCUAUUAAGCGAGGAAAUCACAAUCUUGGAACCUUGACAGAUAAGAGUUGGACCCUGCUUCGGGGAGAUCUGUUGAGAAUGGAGGAGGAUCUCCAAGAGUGGUUGGAGACUACAUGCUCCAGGUGAAGUAAAUUUGAUGCCUUCCUAAUUUCAUGGGUUUCAUAUAUUGAGUACUGUGAAGCUUGGGUUUUCCAUGUAUGAUUUGUUUUUGGAAGAAAGACUGGAAUGCUUCAUAGUUCUGAAGCAUGACGUCGUAGCUGAGCAGGUCAAGGCCCUGGAAAGGUUCAGGACAUUGCAUCUCACUAUGGUACUAUAAGCCUGCAAAUGAUUAAUUUCGAGGAUCACAUGUAUUUAGUUCAGUAUCUCUUUUGAGUCCUCUAAUUAAUUCAUCUAUCGCAAAUAGUCAUUCAUCUAAUUGUAUGAAGGUUUUUUUGUGAGGUGUGAAGCUCCUGCUGGUUAGAUUUAUACACAUGAUAUUUGUUUGGUAAAGUGGUACUGUCUUCAGGAAACAACUGAACGGUUUGCAUACUAUGCCAUGGGCAGAAUGUCACAUGUUGUGUCGGCGAGUGUACUUUGACCACUAAACUCCAGUGUCCAAUUCCUUUCACUUGUUUCCUUAUAACUGGAAACUUUGACUAAUCGAUGAUAUGAUCCAUUUAGUCCCCCACCUAUGAUUUUCUAUGACAAAAGGAAGGAACAAUAUGAAGUUCUUUAUCUGAAAGAUUCUCAUUUUGAUGUUUUGCAAAUCAUCUAUGGAAAAAAAAGCAAUGCAAAAAUGCUAAUUUCUCUACUUAUCAUGGUUUAAUCUGUGUGCAAUUUAUUGGUUCCAUGUUGAAAUGGAAAUAUGCUUGUAUAAGAAAUUUGCACUGAAUGUAACUUAUUCAUAUUAUACUGUGAAGCACUGGAGCUUUUGAUAUAAUAAGAAAUAAGCUAGAAAGGACUAGGGGAGAGCAGGACAUUGGCACAACAACAGAGCUCAAGAUGUCGUCAACUUAUUCUGUUCUACCAUGGUCUCCACUGGCCUUGGAAAGUAGAGGACCAUUGAUGAUGGCAGUACUGAUGGCUGGCAAUAGAUAGUUUCAGUCAAGUUCUUUUUUUGGAGUAAAAAAAUUGUAGUUAACUGUUCUUUUUCAUGCCAUGGUGAUGAGAGAUUGUAGUUCCUGCCCUGUCAGAUGAUUUCAGUGAGUAAAUUAGGUCUUCUUACUGGUUCUGAGAAAACACGCUCGUGUUCUGUUGCGCUUCAGAGAUUGUUUUGGCAUCGCAAAAACGUGCCGGUGCAUAUACUAUCUUGUUCUGCUCAUUUAGCUAUAUGCUUGGCAUGCUUA